AAAAUAUUUAUAUAUAGUGAAAAAUAAUAGUAAAAAAAAUCAGAUGUCAGUUAUAAUGCCAAAUAUCAUUCAAAAAAAAAAUGUAAACUUUUCAACCAAAAACUUCAAAUUAUUAUAAACAUAUAUAAAAAAUAUCAUAAUUUUUCUUCCCCCCGUUUUAUAUUUUCACUCUCUUUCAUCUUCUUAAACAGACUAUGGUCACUCAUUUUGGCCGGAAAAUAUUAGAUCUAGCCACGAUUUGGCCGGAUCUUGAAUGAUUUGGUUGAAUCUUGACCCAUUUUACCUUUUUGACCACCGUUGACAACCACAGUUGACCGUCGUUGACCGCCUUUUUCAUGGUCGACUUGGGCCUAGGGUUUCAGGCGCUUGAGGUGCGCCUCGCCCACCUUUUGCGCCUAGGCGCAAGAGGCGCUCGCCUUUGACAACACUGCCGGAUUAUCAUAACAGCAUCAAACAAACCCAUUGAUUGAAGCGUAAGAAACUUAUCGGCCGUCGUACAUUUGAUUUUGCUAGUCUAGAGGCAUUGGGUUAUAAGAAGCAAGUGGAAAAUUUGUUAGAUUAAUGAUUGGGAAAACCUAUUUGUCAUAAGGACAACGGUGUAUAUGCAUUUGUGUGCAGAAGUUUUUAGUACAUUUCGCUUGAAUACUAUAGAGACUAAGGUCAAUGAGACAGUAAUGACAUUUGAAUUAAGGGUCAAGCUCACACUAUGGUAUAUGCUGAAUUUGGAUGAAUUGGGUUUAUACACGAUAGAGAAAGUAAGACGACUGCUUUAAAGAAAGCAUUGGCGACUUGGCUAUCAACAAGAAUGAAGCUACCUUUUGGGAAAAACAUCAUUUGGGCCUACAGGAUUAUCAUAAUAACAUCAGACAGUCUUCAAUGACAAACUCAUUGCAUCGAAUUCCUCUUGUAUGGUAUAGUUGAGUCCAUUUCAAACUGCGGUGGUUGUCAGAAUAAUGCCAUUUUUCAAGAUUUGUUUUAUUUCUAUUGUAUGUUUGAAAUGGUACCAUGUAAUUUGGCCAAAUGUUUAGCACUCUAUCUAUAUGAGAGGGGACAUGGUACAGAGAAAGAGAAAAAGAGAAGGGUCUGGUUCAUUUGUUUGUUGUCUAGAUAUUAGGAUGGGUCUUGUAGUUGUUAAUGACACGGAAGGAUUGGUGGUUAUAUGGUUAGUGUUACCGUUGGAUUAAUUAAUAAUGUGGCUUUGCGCAAAAUGAAUAUGCUUGUUAGGGACGGUUCAGAUGAGGAUGGUUCACACGGAGAAGAGACUGGGGAUGGUCGAACCUAGCCUGGGGGUUAUCCAGGAUCUUCCUUAUGAUUUUGCAUAUUUGGGUAGUUAGUUCGGGAGCUGGAGCAGGUAAUGGACACGCCAUUGGUGAUAGUCCUGAGCUAGCCAUCGGAGAUUCCAUGCGGCAGUGAACAUAGGUGGAUGUAGCUGUCGUUGUCACGGGUAAGGAGGCGACAUUUUUCAUUUAGUAUAGUGUUUUAGACAUUAUUACUUAUUUCAUUCAGCACUUUCUAUGUUAUAUCGCCGUUGUUGGCGAUGAGACAAUUUUCUAUUUCUGUAGCUUACUUUAUUGUUAGACUUUUAAGUAUGAUUAUUGUUGGGUCACGUUAUUUUG